rnacentral:lncRNA from 1 species
UAUGAUUGACUUUGAUAUUAUCAAAGUUUUAAAAUAUUUUAAGGUUUUUUUUAACACUUUAUUUUAUUGAUCUGAUUUAUAACAUGUUACACCAUAGACGAAUGACAAAACGACAGAGAAUUUCCACACCAAAAGCUAGCAAUGACAAUCACAAAUGCCACAUUAGCUAUACCUAUACCAAACUGGUCUUGUUUCAAAUAAAUAGAUUAGGUGUUCCCGUUCCCACAAUAGCAGACGGACUUCUAAUACCUUUAGCGAAAGCAUGACAAUCAUUCUCAUCAUCUAGAUAGGUCUUCUUCUUCAUUGCAUUUAUCAAACUUGUCCAAAAUUAGCUUCAGCCAAGCUACCAUACAAGCUCGAAUUACAAAGUAAAAAUCAGAUGGAUAGCCUGGACUGAUGCUUCAGAUCCACUAUCACCACCGCAGAAUCACAGACUCAAUGAAACAAUGGAAACCAUAACCAAUCCCAAAAUAAAAUUAGAUCCAACUCGUCAAACGAGAAAGAAGGACGAAAGCACUACAAUACCAAUUAUUAUAGAAAACUAAACUGCUUUAAAGAAAAGCAUCGUGUAGCAAUAAUUAUCAUGAGGACGAGACCCAAAACGUAACCUAAAGCCGGUGAACAUGAGUAACCUGUUGCUAAAAGACAAACGCUUCAACACCACUCCUAUGAAGAGACCAACACAACCAAACAAGGCCAUACAAAUCAAAAACGAACAAGACCAGCGCCUUAGAUCCGCUUUGAAUUCUUGCACGAUGUCGCACAAUAAUUGUAGAUGAAACCACACCACAAGACACCGAGAUCUGAGAAGGAAAAACAAAAGAAACAAUCUAGAAAGGAAGAAGAGCCCCUCCGGCGCCAGCGAAGACUGCCAGUCACCGGAGAGACUGCAAGAAAGUUGGGAGGCGGCGGGGGAAGUUACAGAGAAUUGAAAAAAAAAAUAUUUUAAGGUUAGCUAUCAUUAUAACUCCCUCUCCAAUUUCUUCAUCGGUGUUUUUUUGUCAUUUUUUUGUAAGUGUCUUUUCCAUAUUUUCUUUUAUGUUGCUUUUCAUAAAAAUAAACAAAAUAUACAUUUGAUUAUUGGUGAAAAGUUCAUCUUUUUAAAACUCUAUUUAGUGGAAUUAAAUAGUUUUCAUUUUAUAUUGUAAUGUUUGUUAAAAAGAAAUUUUUUUAUCACAACAAUUAUCAUAUACUAGACGUGAAUUGCCGUAAGCAAUUUGUACUCUUUCCAAAUUUAUGCAAGCUCCGAAACAGGAGAAUUGGGAUGCAGACAUUUGUGUGGUACAAUAUCUGAUAUGGAAUGGCGAAUUCUUCAGAAAAAAUUGUGUAUAAUGUUACUUAAGGCAAUGCAGACUUUGACUUUGAGUGCUUGGUGUGAUUCAGAUUGAGGAGCAUUUUCCAUCACACGAAG